CCUACGGGAGGCAGCAGUAGGGAAUUUUCGUCAAUGGGCGCAAGCCUGAACGAGCGAUGCCGCGUGAGUGAAGAAGGCCUUCGGGUCGUAAAGCUCUGUUGCGGGGGAAAAAAGGCAGCAUCAGGAAAUGGGUGCUGACUGAUGGUGCCCCGCCAGAAGGCCACGGCUAACUACGUGCCAGCAGCCGCGGUAAUACGUAGGUGGCGAGCGUUAUCCGGAAGGAUUGGGCGUAACGGUUGCGCAGGCGGUACUGCAAGUCUGGAGUGAAACGCAUGAGCUCAACACAUGCAGGGCUUUGGAAACUGGAGGACUGGAGAGCAGGAGAGGGCGGUGGAACUCCAUGUGUAGCGGUAAAAUGCGUAGAUAUAUGGAAGAACACCAGUGGCGAAGGCGGCCGCCGGGCCUGUUGCUGACGCUGAGGCACGAAAGCGUGGGGAGCAAAUAGGAUUAGAUACCCUAGUAGUC
rnacentral:rRNA from 1 species